ACCUUGUAGGAUCUGUCCGGAGUGCUGAAAAGGUUUCCGCUGGAGAAGGCUGGAGUCUGGGAGACCAAGUAAUCUGACGAGCUCACCAAGCAGGAUUUUCAAGUCCCAACCAAAGAUCCUUUUAAACAGAAACUGACGUCCAUAAAGGACAAAAACAGUCACAACUAAUUUUUAAAUGGAUAUAAGAGAGAAAUUGAAGGAGAUGCCCUGUGCUCCAUGAGAGGAAGGAGGUACACAAAGCACACCUAACAAGAGGUGGCAUGCCCGAACACUCGGAACUCUAAAGAAUGUCUAGAACGUUGCAUAGCCAAGAAGAUUCUGCAGAAAGCCUAAGCUGAGCUCCCCACGGGGGUAGGGUGGGGGGCUGCAUAGAACCCACGACAAUGAUUUCUUGGCUGCCUCAAAAGGCCAGUAGAUGAGCUCUAGCUCAGUCUCACGGGACUCAGAACAAUGAAACACGUAGGGAAUCAAAACGGUGGCAGGAAGCCACUGCCUUCCGACUGGCCUCUGUCAGUAACUCGGCGGAGAGUAAACUGUGGGAGAGUCUAUCUGCCUGCUCACUCGAGAGCUUUCGAUUCAGCUUAGGCAGCACGGAGAUGGUGCCUGAGUGAGCACAAGCACUUGUUACCCGCCCCUCAAUUUCCCUUCCCCACAGCACCUGCUCCGGAGGGAGACCUAGCACCAGCACCUGAGCCCUCCAGGUGGACUGCCCUCUUCCCUCUGUGAGGUCCCGGUGCAGGCGAGGCUCUGGUCACCUGGCUAGCUCGUUGGCCUGCCCGGGUUCUCUCCCAAGUGGCUGUAGCCUGGGCAAUGCCGCUUGAAGGUUUAACCGAAGCCACCCGCGAAUGGAGCCGGCUUCAACCUCGAGGUUCUGGCCACCCCCGCCGCUCCACCCGCGACCCCUCCCCCAAACACAACUGGGAGCACCCCGCAAGCUUACAGCUCCUUCGUCCUCGUUCAUUUUCUAUGGAAACAAGCCCACUUAAAUUCCUCACUUAUGCAAAUACGAGCAAAGCGAUCUUCAUAAAGCUUUCAUUGGAGAGACGCCGCGGUAGCCUGGGCUCCGGACUCGAGAUUCCUGUCUGAUUCACCCAGCACACGUCCUUGGCGGGUGACUUUUCCAAACUUGCAGGACCUCGCAGCGUCCCUGGCUCCCCCGGCUCUCCGCCUGCCCACAGCCCGCCCUCCCGGGUGCAUCGCCCCGGCUCCCGCCCCGUGCCGGGCGGCCCUCCAUCCC
ensembl:lncRNA